AUUGAACGCUGGCGGCAGGCCUAACACAUGCAAGUCGAGCGAGCGGCGGACGGGUGAGUAAUGUCUGGGAAACUGCCUGAUGGAGGGGGAUAACUACUGGAAACGGUAGCUCAUACCGCAUCCCAUCCGCUGUGCACAGAUGGGCUUAGCUAGUAGGUGGGGUACUGGCCAACCAAGGCGACGAUCCCUAGCUGGUCUGAGAGGAUGACCAGGCACACUGGAACUGAGACACGGUCCAGACUCCUACGGGAGGCAGCAGUGGGGAAUAUUGCACAAUGGGCGCAAGCCUGAUGCAGCCAUGCCGCGUGUGUGAAGAAGGCCUUCGGGUUGUAAAGCACUUUCAGCGGGGAGGCGUUACCCGCAGAAGAAGCACCGGCUAACUCCGUGCCAGCCGCCGCGGUAAUAC
rnacentral:rRNA from 1 species